CAAUCUGACUGCAAAGGAUUCUGGGAACUACACCUGUGGUUUGAAGAGGAACAACGGCACCCUCUCCGCCCCAUACAGCCUGCACUUGGGAGCAGAAGAGGAAGGAACUAAAGCCUUUGACCCACUGCUGGCUGUUCAUCUGCUUCUCUUCACUCUGCACACUGUUUUCAUCGUCAUAGUAACGGCCAUCAUGAUCAAAAGGACAUGCAUUUGC